UACGAAGGGGGCUAGCGUUGCUCGGAAUUACUGGGCGUAAAGGGCGCGUAGGCGGAUAGUUUAGUUAGAGGUAAAAGCCCAGGGCUCAACCUUGGAACUGCCUUUGAUACUGGCUAUCUUGAGUACGGGAGAGGUGUGUGGAACUCCGAGUGUAGAGGUGAAAUUCGUAGAUAUUCGGAAGAACACCAGUGGCGAAGGCGACACACUGGCCCGUUACUGACGCUGAGGCGCGAAAGCGUGGGGAGCAAACAGG
rnacentral:rRNA from 1 species